rnacentral:rRNA from 1 species
AUUGCAGAUUCAGCGAGUCAUCGAAUCUUUGAACGCACAUUGCGCCCGCCAGCAUUCUGGCGGGCAUGCCUGUCCGAGCGUCAUUUCCCCCCUCAGCGCGCCCUCUGGGAGCGCUGGCGUUGGGGCUCCUCCGCCCUCUGUGGCGGCAGGGCCCUCAAAUCCAGUGGCGGGCCCGUCUGGCUGGCUCCGAGCGCAGUACCGAACGCAAGUUCUCUUUCUCGCUUCGUAGCCCCGGCCGGUGCCCAGCCGUCAAGCCGCGCAGGCGACCCUUUCCGGGCCGCCUCGCACUUUUUUACAAGGUUGACCUCGGAUCAGGUAGGACUACCCGCUGAACUUAAGCAUAUCAAUAAGCGG